rnacentral:rRNA from 1 species
UACGUAGGGAGCAAGCGUUGUCCGGAAUCAUUGGGCGUAAAGCGCGCGUAGGUGGCUUCGUAAGUCCGCUGUGAAAGUCAAAGGCUCAACCUUUGAAAGCCGGUGGAUACUGUGAAGCUAGAGUACGGAAGAGGCGAGUGGAAUUCCUGGUGUAGCGGUGGAAUGCGCAGAUAUCAGGAGGAACACCAAUAGCGAAGGCAGCUCGCUGGGACGUUACUGACACUGAGGCGCGAAAGCGUGGGGAGCGAACAG